rfam:Oryza glumipatula chromosome 3, whole genome shotgun sequence.
AUACUUACCUGGACGGGGUCGACGGCCGAUCAAGAAGGGCCGUGGCCUACAUCAAUGGCUCACAUUGCACUUGGUGAGCGCGUUGGUUUACCAUCUCCCCAAGUGGGAGAGUGGACGUCAUAAUUUGUGGUAGAGGGGGUACGCGUUCGCGCGGCCCCUG